GACGAACCGUGCGAACGUUGUUCGGAAUCACUGGGCUUAAAGGGCGCGUAGGCGGCCGGGUUGGUCGUGGGUGAAAUCCCCCAGCUUAACUGGGGAACUGCCUACGAUACUGCCUGGCUCGAGGGAGGAAGGGGCGGUCGGAACUGUCGGUGGAGCGGUGAAAUGCGUUGAUAUCGACAGGAACGCCGGUGGCGAAAGCGGACCGCUGGCCCUCUUCUGACGCUGAGGCGCGAAAGCUAGGGGAGCGAACAGG
rnacentral:rRNA from 1 species